rnacentral:rRNA from 1 species
AUACGGAGGGUGCAAGCGUUACUCGGAAUCACUGGGCGUAAAGCGCGCGCAGGCGGCUAUUUAAGUUGGAUGUGAAAGCCUACGGCUCAACCGUAGAACUGCAUCCAAAACUAUUUAGCUAGAGUGUGGGAGAGGAAGAUGGAAUUAGUUGUGUAGGGGUAUAAUCCGUAGAGAUAACUAGGAAUACCAAAAGCGAAGGCAAUCUUCUGGAACACUACUGACGCUGAGGCGCGAAAGCGUGGGGAGCAAACAGGAUUAGAAACCCUAGUAGUCC